AUGAACGCUAGCUACAGGCUUAACACAUGCAAGUCGAGGGGCAGCAUUUCAGUUUGCUUGCAAACUGGAGAUGGCGACCGGCGCACGGGUGAGUAACACGUAUCCAACCUGCCGAUAACUCGGGGAUAGCCUUUCGAAAGAAAGAUUAAUACCCGAUGGUAUAAUCAGACCGCAUGGUCUUGUUAUUAAAGAAUUUCGGUUAUCGAUGGGGAUGCGUUCCAUUAGGCAGUUGGUGAGGUAACGGCUCACCAAACCUUCGAUGGAUAGGGGUUCUGAGAGGAAGGUCCCCCACAUUGGAACUGAGACACGGUCCAAACUCCUACGGGAGGCAGCAGUGAGGAAUAUUGGUCAAUGGGCGCAGGCCUGAACCAGCCAAGUAGCGUGAAGGAUGACUGCCCUAUGGGUUGUAAACUUCUUUUAUAUGGGAAUAAAGUUUUCCACGUGUGGAAUUUUGUAUGUACCAUAUGAAUAAGGAUCGGCUAACUCCGUGCCAGCAGCCGCGGUAAUACGGAGGAUCCGAGCGUUAUCCGGAUUUAUUGGGUUUAAAGGGAGCGUAGGUGGACAGUUAAGUCAGUUGUGAAAGUUUGCGGCUCAACCGUAAAAUUGCAGUUGAUACUGGCUGUCUUGAGUACAGUAGAGGUGGGCGGAAUUCGUGGUGUAGCGGUGAAAUGCUUAGAUAUCACGAAGAACUCCGAUUGCGAAGGCAGCUCACUGGACUGCAACUGACACUGAUGCUCGAAAGUGUGGGUAUCAAACAGGAUUAGAUACCCUGGUAGUCCACACAGUAAACGAUGAAUACUCGCUGUUUGCGAUAUACAGUAAGCGGCCAAGCGAAAGCAUUAAGUAUUCCACCUGGGGAGUACGCCGGCAACGGUGAAACUCAAAGGAAUUGACGGGGGCCCGCACAAGCGGAGGAACAUGUGGUUUAAUUCGAUGAUACGCGAGGAACCUUACCCGGGCUUAAAUUGCAUUUGAAUAUAUUGGAAACAGUAUAGCCGUAAGGCAAAUGUGAAGGUGCUGCAUGGUUGUCGUCAGCUCGUGCCGUGAGGUGUCGGCUUAAGUGCCAUAACGAGCGCAACCCUUAUCUUUAGUUACUAACAGGUCAUGCUGAGGACUCUAGAGAGACUGCCGUCGUAAGAUGUGAGGAAGGUGGGGAUGACGUCAAAUCAGCACGGCCCUUACGUCCGGGGCUACACACGUGUUACAAUGGGGGGUACAGAAGGCAGCUACCUGGUGACAGGAUGCUAAUCCCAAAAGCCUCUCUCAGUUCGGAUCGAAGUCUGCAACCCGACUUCGUGAAGCUGGAUUCGCUAGUAAUCGCGCAUCAGCCAUGGCGCGGUAAAUACGUUCCCGGGCCUUGUACACACCGCCCGUCAAGCCAUGAAAGCCGGGGGUACCUGAAGUACGUAACCGCAAGGAGCGUCCUAGGGUAAAACUGGUAAUUGGGGCU
rnacentral:rRNA from 1 species